rnacentral:lncRNA from 1 species
AGGUGGUUUGCUCCACGGGGACGCGCACGCAGGGCCGGGCAGGGGCGUGCACGCCGCCCUCUGACCCCGCCCCGUUGCCGCGGAGCGCCGGCCCUGGAAACUUGGGCCCGAGCGACCUUCGCCUGCGAGGCGAUUUCCCCACGCCGGGUGUGGCUCUGCCCCCACGGUACCAAGUCCUGUUCGAUCUUACAAUCUUGCAGUCUCGGGAGAAGUCUAGAGCGCUCAUUUCAGAGGAAAUAGGCCCAAGAAGAGCGACUGGCUUUCUGUUACCAUCCCUGGCUGAUUUACUCUUCUGCGGUUGCCUAACCAGUCUUUCCUCCCAGCUCAAACCUGCAGUCAACACAGUUCCCAAGACAACCAGCUCAUCUUGUUAUUUAUUUAGACAUCUGUAAGGACUGCCUAGUCCCCAUGGGAUAAAGUCUCAGCUCCUGUCCUCAGUUGCUCAGAGUGACUCUUUCAGCUAGUUUCUUUCUUGUCUUCAUCAAACACUAGCCUGUGCUCAUGAUAGACCUGAAGUUCUUAACUCUUCAGCUCUCCUCCUGUAUCUGAACAAUUUUCAGCACUUCAUAUAUAACAAAGGGUACUGUUAACUUGUUUCAUAAAUCUAUGGCAGCAUACAGAUUAUCUCCCAAAACCUUGGAAGCAGAUCUUGUGCUUUUGUAUCUCCUCUGAGGACCACUGUGUACAUUGUUGUUGAUCAAUGUAUCAGUCGUUUGAAAAAUAAAAUGCUACUCUCAUUUGAUCAGAUCCUUAUUUUUGUUUUGUGUUCCAACUCUUCAGAGAAUCUUCUAUUGUGUCUUCAAGAAAAUGUAUCUAAAACUUAAG